rnacentral:rRNA from 1 species
GACGAACGCUGGCGGCGUGCCUAAUACAUGCAAGUUGAGCGCUGAAGGUUGGUACUUGUACCAACUGGAUGAGCAGCGAACGGGUGAGUAACGCGUGGGGAGUCUGCCUUUGAGCGGGGGACAACAUUUGGAAACGAAUGCUAAUACCGCAUAAAAACUUUAAACACAAGUUUUAAGUUUGAAAGAUGCAAUUGCAUCACUCAAAGAUGAUCCCGCGUUGUAUUAGCUAGUUGGUGAGGUAAAGGCUCACCAAGGCGAUGAUACAUAGCCGGCCUGAGAGGGUGAUCAGCCACAUUGGGACGGAGACACGGCCCAAACUCCUACGGGAGGCAGCAGUAGGGAAUCUUCGGCCAUGGACGAAAGUCUGACCGAGCAACGCCGCGUGAGUGAAGAAGGUUGUCGGAUCGUAAAACUCUGUUGGUAGAGAAGAACGUUGGUGAGAGUGGAAAGCUCAUCAAGUGACGGUAACUACCCAGAAAGGGACGGCUAACUACGUG